rnacentral:rRNA from 1 species
AGUUGAUCAUGGCUACGAGGACGAACGCUGGCGGCGUGCUUAACACAUGCAAGUCGAACGGGGAUUAGUUGAUAGAGAGCUUCGGCAGGAAAUUGAUUAAUUCGAGUGGCGGACGGGUGAGUAACGCGUGAGCAACCUGUCCCAGACAGGGGGAUAACACUUGGAAACAGGUGCUAAUACCGCAUAAGACCACGGGAUCACAUGGUUCUGGGGUAAAAGGAGCAAUCCGGUUUGGGGUGGGCUCGCGUCCGAUUAGCCAGUUGGCGGGGUAACGGCCCACCAAAGCGACGAUCGGUAGCCGACCUGAGAGGGUGAACGGCCACAUUGGAACUGAGAGACGGUCCAAACUCCUACGGGAGGCAGCAGUGGGGAAUAUUGGGCAAUGGGCGAAAGCCUGAACCCCAGCAACGCCGCGUGAGUGAAGAAGGCCUUCGGGUUGUAAAGCUCUGUUAUAGUUGACGAAGGAAGUGACGGUAGGCUAUAAGGAAGCCCCGGCUAACUACGUGCCAGCAGCGGC